rnacentral:tRNA from 1 species
ACUGGAGUAGCUCAUUUGGUUUGAGCGUGUGGCUGUUAAACACAAGGUCGACAGUUCAAGUCUUUCCUCUAGCG